rnacentral:rRNA from 1 species
ACAGGGAUUGCUCUAGUAACGGCGAGUGAAGCAGCAAUAGCUCAAAUUUGAAAUCUGGCGUCUUCGACGUCCGAGUUGUAAUUUGUAGAGGAUGCUUCUGAGUAACCACCGACCUAAGUUCCUUGGAACAGGACGUCAUAGAGGGUGAGAAUCCCGUAUGCGGUCGGAAAGGUGCUCUAUACGUAGCUCCUUCGACGAGUCGAGUUGUUUGGGAAUGCAGCUCUAAAUGGGAGGUAAAUUUCUUCUAAAGCUAAAUAUUGGCCAGAGACCGAUAGCGCACAAGUAGAGUGAUCGAAAGAUGAAAAGCACUUUGGAAAGAGAGUUAAAAAGCACGUGAAAUUGUUAAAAGGGAAGGGAUUGCAACCAGACUUGCUCGCGGUGUUCCGCCGGUCUUCUGACCGGUCUACUCGCCGCGUUGCAGGCCAGCAUCGUCUGGUGCCGCUGGAUAAGACUUGAGGAAUGUAGCUCCCUCGGGAGUGUUAUAGCCUCUUGUGAUGCAGCGAGCGCCGGGCGAGGUCCGCGCUUCGGCUAGGAUGCUGGCGUAAUGGUCGUAAUCCGCCCGUCUUGAAACACGGACCAAGGAGUCUAACAUCUAUGCGAGUGUUCGGGUGUCAAACCCCUACGCGUAAUGAAAGUGAACGGAGGUGAGAACCGCAAGGUGCAUCAUCGACCGAUCCUGAUGUCUUCGGAUGGAUUUGAGUAUGAGCAUAGCUGUUGGGACCCGAAAGAUGGUGAACUAUGCCUGAAUAGGGUGAAGCCAGAGGAAACUCUGGUGGAGGCUCGCAGCGGUUCUGACGUGCAAAUCGAUCGUCAAAUUUGGGUAUAGGGGCGAAAGACUAAUCGAAC